rnacentral:rRNA from 1 species
UAGGGAAUAUUGGUAAUGGGCGAAAGCCUGAACCGGCAACGCCGCGUGCGCGAUGAAGGCCUUCGGGUCGUAAAGCACUUUUUGGAGGGAUGAGGAAGGACAGUACCUCCAGAAUAAGCCUCGGCUAACUACGUGCCAGCAGCCGCAGUAACACGUAGGAGGCAAGCGUUAUUCGGAUUUACUGGGCGUAAAGCGCGUGCAGGCGGUUCGGAAAGUUGGAUGUGAAAGCUCCUGGCUUAACUGGGAGAGGUCGUUCAAUACUUCCGGACUUGAGAGUGGGAGAGGGAGGUGGAAUUCCGGGUGUGGUGGUGAAAUGCGUAGAUAUCCGGAGGAACACCAGUGGCGAAAGCGGCCUCCUGGCCCAUUUCUGACGCUCAGACGCGAAAGCUAGGGUAGCAAACGG